rnacentral:rRNA from 1 species
GACGAACGCUGGCGGCGUGCUUAACACAUGCCAGUCGAACGGAAAGGCCCUGCUUUUGUGGCUUGCUCGAGAGGCGCACGGGGGAGUAACACGUGAGGAACCUGUACCUGACUAUCGGAUAACUUCAGGAAACUGGGGCGCAUACCGGAUAGGAGCUCCUGCUCCAUGGUGGGGGUUGGAAAGUUUCGGCGGUUGGGGAUGGACUCGCGGCUUAUCGGCUUGUUGGUGUGGUAGUGGCUUACCAAGGCUUUGACGGGUAGCCGGCCUGAGAGGGUGACCGGCCACGUGACGACUGAGAUACGGCCCAGUCUCCAAUCGGACGCAACGGUGGAGAGUAUUACACAGUAGGCGGGAGCCAGAUGUGACGACGCCGCGUGCGGGAAGACGUGCUUCGAGUUGUAAACCAAUGUCGCCUGUGAUGAGGAGUGAGUGACGGUAAUGGAUAAGAAAGCACCGGCUAACUACGUG